GUGUCAGCCGCCGCGUUAAUACGGAGGGUGCAAGCGUUAAUCGGAAUUACUGGGCGUAAAGCGCACGCAGGCGGUCUGUCAAGUCGGAUGUGAAAUCCCCGGGCUCAACCUGGGAACUGCAUUCGAAACUGGCAGGCUAGAGUCUUGUAGAGGGGGGUAGAAUUCCAGGUGUAGCGGUGAAAUGCGUAGAGAUCUGGAGGAAUACCGGUGGCGAAGGCGGCCCCCUGGACAAAGACUGACGCUCAGGUGCGAAAGCGUGGGGAGCAAACAGGAUUAGAUACCCUCGUAGUCC
rnacentral:rRNA from 1 species